GCGAUGGCAAUGAGGAUCGAACCUUCGAAAGCAGAGCCCGUUAGCCUAAUGUUGCCUACGGAGAGGAGCUGAACUAAGUUAAACUCUUCAACUGUGAACAAGUGCUGAUUUGUUGAUAAGUGAACUACUUGAUUUCAGAAAACAUCUGUGAUAAACUGCUCACAUCUUGAAGCGUGAAAGCAACUUUAGUGGAGAAACCAUGGCCCCCUCUGCUUUACUCGGUGAUGAUUAGCAGCAGCACAGCAGGUUAAAGGGGCUGGUGAGGGGGCAGACAGCGUCCUCUGGUGGGUGUUCUGAAAUUAAACACUACAAGGAACUGGGGGAAAAAACAGCAGAGGGAGAGGAUGAGAGUUUUCAGAUUCCUGUAGCUCAUACAGACGUCUCCUCAGCAAAAUCCAAAAAAGAACUGGACAGUGCCAUCACUGGAAGGACAACUGAC